GACGAACGCUGGCGGCGUGCUUAACACAUGCAAGUCGAACGGAAAGGCCCUGCUUUUGUGGGGUGCUCGAGUGGCGAACGGGUGAGUAACACGUGAGUAACCUGCCCUUGACUUUGGGAUAACUUCAGGAAACUGGGGCUAAUACCGGAUAGGAGCUCCUGCUGCAUGGUGGGGGUUGGAAAGUUUCGGCGGUUGGGGAUGGACUCGCGGCUUAUCAGCUUGUUGGUGGGGUAGUGGCUUACCAAGGCUUUGACGGGUAGCCGGCCUGAGAGGGUGACCGGCCACAUUCGGACUGAGAUACGGCCCAGACUCCUACGGGAGGCAGCAGUGGGGAAUAUUGCACAAUGGGCGGAAGCCUGAUGCAGCAACGCCGCGUGCGGGAUGACGGCCUUCGGGUUGUAAACCGCUUUCGCCUGUGACGAAGCGUGAGUGACGGUAAUGGGUAAAGAAGCACCGGCUAACUACGUG
rnacentral:rRNA from 1 species